AUGGGUAAAACAUUGAGUUUGAGCCAAUACACCAUAGCGAUGAUAAAAUGAUGACUAAGAAGAAUAAUAUAUUUUUGAUGAAAUGUCUUGAAAUUCAUCAUAUUGAAUUUGCUCCAUUCCUUGAAAAGAAUGUGGUAGCAACAUGUGAUAACUCUGAAAUCCGCCUGUUGACUUGCUCCAUUCAAUCAUAUGAAUGUGGUAGCAGUGAAUGAUUAGUCUGAAAGAUGACAAAUAAUUAAUGAUAUGAAUAAGGGCGUGGAGGGACAAAAUUAUAAUAGUCAUCAUUGUGGUAAUGAUAAAAGGAAGAACACUAUGAGUUCUUCAAAUAGUCCUUCAAAACGUGAAGAAAAUUUUUAUUAUAAAAAUGGUACGAAAGGUCAUUAGACUUGUGAAUGUUGUCGACCCAAUAAUUUGACAAGUUUAUAAAUCCUCUAUCAUGAUACAAGAAGAUAAAGUGAUGGUACACUUGAUCUUUCAAAGUGAUGUUGAGGUGUGUCAUGGAAAUAUGAUGAUUUUUAAAGCCAUGACAAUGUGCUUAUAAUGCAAAUUUAUGAAGUACAUAUAAAUAAUUAGUCCAUUCCUUGAAGAGAAUGUGACUUGUGAUGAGUAUCUUGAAUGCUCGAUCAUUCUAUAAGAGAAUGGGUCCAGAUGUGAUAAAAUCAUU
rnacentral:lncRNA from 1 species